rnacentral:rRNA from 1 species
UACGUAGGGUCCGAGCGUUGUCCGGAAUUAUUGGGCGUAAAGAGCUCGUAGGCGGUUUGUCGCGUCUGCUGUGAAAACUCGAGGCUCAACCUCGAGAUGUCGGCUGAAACCAUCUGGCUAGAGUCCGGAAGAGGAGAAUGGAAUUCCCGGUGUAGCGGUGAAAUGCGCAGAUAUCGGGAAGAACACCCGUGGCGAAGGCGGUUCUCUGGGACGGUACUGACGCUGAGACGCGAAAGCGUGGGGAGCGAACAGG